rfam:Peptoclostridium acidaminophilum DSM 3953 chromosome, complete genome.
GGCACUUGUACUAGAUGCGGUGCAUCUAUGGUUAAAGA